rnacentral:tRNA from 1 species
GGUCCAGUAGUCUAGUGGUUAUGACAUCUGUCUUACAUUUGCUAGCACAGAAGGUCCUCGGUUCAAUCCCGGGCUGGAUCA